CGGGUGAGUAAUGCCUAGGAAUCUGCCUGGUAGUGGGGGAUAACGUUCGGAAACGGACGCUAAUACCGCAUACGUCCUACGGGAGAAAGCAGGGGACCUUCGGGCCUUGCGCUAUCAGAUGAGCCUAGGUCGGAUUAGCUAGUUGGUGGGGUAAUGGCUCACCAAGGCGACGAUCCGUAACUGGUCUGAGAGGAUGAUCAGUCACACUGGAACUGAGACACGGUCCAGACUCCUACGGGAGGCAGCAGUGGGGAAUAUUGGACAAUGGGCGAAAGCCUGAUCCAGCCAUGCCGCGUGUGUGAAGAAGGUCUUCGGAUUGUAAAGCACUUUAAGUUGGGAGGAAGGGUUGUAGAUUAAUACUCUGCAAUUUUGACGUUACCGACAGAAUAAGCACCGGCUAACUCUGUGCCAGCAGCCGCGGUAAUACAGAGGGUGCAAGCGUUAAUCGGAAUUACUGGGCGUAAAGCGCGC
rnacentral:rRNA from 1 species